CCACUUUAGCAGCACAUACACUAAAAUUGGAAUGACACAGAGCACGGCCCCUGAACAAGGAUGACGUGCAAGUUUGUGUAGUGUUCCAGAUUUUU
ensembl:snRNA U6 U6 spliceosomal RNA